GAACGCUGGCGGCAUGCUUUACACAUGCAAGUCGAACGGUAACAGGCCUUCGGGUGCUGACGAGUGGCGAACGGGUGAGUAAUGCAUCGGAACGUGCCCAGAGUGGGGGAUAACGCAGCGAAAGCUGUGCUAAUACCGCAUGUGAUCUGAGGAUGAAAGCGGGGGACCAAGCAGCAAUGUUUGGCCUCGCGCUUCUGGAGCGGCCGAUGUCAGAUUAGGUAGUUGGUGGGGUAAAGGCCUACCAAGCCGACGAUCUGUAGCUGGUCUGAGAGGACGACCAGCCACACUGGGACUGAGACACGGCCCAGACUCCUACGGGAGGCAGCAGUGGGGAAUUUUGGACAAUGGGCGCAAGCCUGAUCCAGCAAUGCCGCGUGCGGGAAGAAGGCCUUCGGGUUGCAAACCGCUUUUGUACGGAACGAAAAGGCUCUGGCUAAUACCUGGGGCUGAUGACGGUACCGUAAGAAUAAGCACCGGCUAACUACGUG
rnacentral:rRNA from 1 species